CCCUUAGAUGUCCGGGGCCGCACGCGCGCUACACUGAUGCAUUCAACGAGCCUAUCCUUGACCGACAGGUCCGGGUAAUCUUUGAAUCUGCAUCGUGACGGGGAUAGAUUAUUGCAAUUAUUAAUCUUCAACGAGGAAUGCCUAGUAGGCGCAAGUCAUCAGCUUGCGUCGAUUACGUCCCUGCCCUUUGUACACACUGCCCGUCGCUCCUACCGAUUGGGUGUGCUGGUGAAAUGUUCGGAUCGGCCGUUUGUCGCGGUUUCCGCGUCAUGUGGCUGGGAAGUUCAUUAAACCCUCCCACCUAGAGGAAGGAGAAGUCGUAACA
rnacentral:rRNA from 1 species